GUGAUGACAUGACAUGGCAUCGAGGCAGCCUGUAGGAUUUGAGGCAUAGGCCCUUUUGGUUGGACUUCUGAAGAGUUAAAAAGUUACUUUGAGAAGUAGCGAAGCGGUGGACUCUUUGAAUUUU